rnacentral:lncRNA from 1 species
UAAGCAUUAGGGCCAAUUAAAGAAUUUUAGUUUCCCUUUCUCAGACAAAUAGCUUUUAUACUUUUUUUUUUUUUUAAACUGACACAUCUGUUCUGUUGGUAAAUAAGGAGACACCCGGUAAAACUAAUUUAGGUUCCAAUAGUUGUGCAGAACUUGUGUUUCUUGGUGAUUCUCCUCAAGUACUAGCUGCCUAAGCUACAGAGGGCACUGGCCUGCUCCUACAGAAGGAAGCAAUCAUAGCUUCUAUUGUUUUAAACAAAACAACAGGAAGAACAGGACCAGGACUCUCCUAUACACAGUGUGUAGGAACAGCUGCCUGGGAAGCUGUGUGUCUGUCCCUCUGUUCACUACCCUCUUGCUCUGAGGCACGCUGGUUCUGGAGUAUAUUUCCACCUAUGAUGACAUAGCUAGACCUCCUUUUACCAACAAAACUCCAGGUUGAGACUCUCUAGUCUUGCCAGGGCCCACUGAGAGCUCCCAGACUCAGUACAUCUCUCCCUCGUUUAAAACACCUUUUUCUAAACACUUUCUUAUAAAAUGCAUUUGGAAACUAGACCUUUGCUACCACUGUCUCUGGGUUUUUGUAUCAGUCCCAACUUCUCAGGCUGUCUUGCCCAAGAUGCAGGACCCCUACCUAGCCCACCUCCCAAGGCACCUGUGCCUCCACUCAGGAUGUCUUGCUCUGACUGGCUCCCCUUCCAGACUGCCUUUUCUGGCCUUUCUGGGGUUCCCUGUUGGUGCCACAGGGCACUUCCUUAAAACCAGUACUGUACCAGAAAACUGAGGGUCCCAGUUCUGGUCCCACCACCUUCCAAGUGUUUGCCAUGUGGCAGGCUUUGUUCUGGCUCAGUUUCCAAUUAGAAAGUGGAAAUCUAGAGAUCCAGAUGAACAUAUCCAUCUCAGGAGGCACGGAGGGAAAAGAUGUAUGUAUUGAAGUUUUUUUUUUUUUUUAAAUGUGACUUUUUUUAAAUCAAUGUUCAAACUAAUAAAUAUUUUUUUAUG